UGCAAGUCGAGCGGAAUGAAGAAGAAGCUUGCUUCUUCUGAUUUUAGCGGCGGACGGGUGAGGUAACACGUGGGCAACCUACCUUGUAGAUUGGGAUAACUCCGGGAAACCGGGGCUAAUACCGGAUAAUCCAUUUUGCUUCAUGGCGAGAUGUUAAAAGACGGUUUCGGCUGUCACUACAAGAUGGGCCCGCGGCGCAUUAGCUAGUUGGUAGGGGUAAUGGCCUACCAAGGCGACGAUGCGUAGCCGACCUGAGAGGGUGAUCGGCCACACUGGGACUGAGACACGGCCCAGACUCCUACGGGAGGCAGCAGUAGGGAAUCUUCCACAAUGGACGAAAGUCUGAUGGAGCAACGCCGCGUGAGUGAAGAAGGUUUUCGGAUCGUAAAACUCUGUUGUAAGGGAAGAACACGUACGAGAGUAACUGCUCGUACCUCGACGGUACCUUAUUAGAAAGCCACGGCUAACUACGUG
rnacentral:rRNA from 1 species